GAAAUGUCGGACUUCCAUCAAAUUUAAUGCCCGCGAUUCUAACCUUAUCACUAUUUAUCACGAACUAUGAUGAUAAUAAUUGUUAUCAAAUAAUUAACAACGUAAUAUUUUUAUUUUUUCGUCUGCCGACGUUAAGUUUGAAUCACUCGGGAAUCGCGAUUAUAUGAAAUUUGAACAGAACUACAGUGGUACAGAGUUCUAUUCAUACAUAAUUUUAGAACAUAAUCACCAUGGAUAAGUGUAUUCUUUUUAGCAAAACAACCAAUGUAUCGCCUCGCCGCCACAUUACGUUAAUUUUCAUUUGUAAGUAGGUAUUAUUUUCAAAUUGCACUGUUUAUACUUCUUAAUAAUAUGGAGUCAGUCUAGUUUGCUAAUUUGUUCACAGAUAUAGAUUUCCAAAAAAUCAAUGAAAUAAAGACUAAAAAUCUUCGAAUUAAAUGAUUAUCCCAAUUUCUACCUGGCAUAGAAUCUGCGGCAAUCAUUUCUCAAUUAGUGAUUGUAAACAAUGCUCAGUAAAUUAGUAAACACGGUCAGAGGCUGUCUCAAAACAUAAUCCAAACCACUUGUCUGGGAUAGAGAAGUAAAAUAAAUUUUAGUUAUUUACGGCAACAUCGGUACUACUCUGAGCACGACUAGGAAAUCGCAUCUAAGAGAAAACUUUGUUUCUCCAACGAUGGGUUAGCAGAAAAUGAACAGACGAAUAAAGGGUUUCGAGGACUUACAGUUGAUGAUUUUGAUUAGCCCAGAAAAGCCUUACAUACUGAUUAAUGUCUAAUUCACACACACUUAUUUCAUAGAAUGGAUUAUACUUAUUAUUGUUUUCGAAAUUGAAAUAAUAUAUUAUGUACCUACCACAUACAAGGAACUAAGAAGUGGAGCCAGUGUAUUGACAAUUUUUCAGACGUUGACUUUCUUGAAGAUAAUUCUACAGACUCAGAUGAAGCCAUAUAAUAUUGGAGCGAAUUGUGAAACUUAAAGGUAAUACAAUUUUGCUGAGCAAGAAUUAAAUUUUAAUAAAGCAGAGAGCCUCAAAGAAACACAUAACUACUAUGGGCAUUGGUAUCUUUCUUAAAGGGAAAGUGCAUCUAGUUGGAUGCGUUAAACAGGUCGUCAAACCCGUUCCCAUUUACAACGAGGAAAUACAAUCUUCAUUGUAAAAAAGAGUAUGCAAUUACCAAAAAGAUUCAGUGGUUGUUAUUAAAAUACUUCAACUAUCGACAAUGGACAUAAUUGAUGAAGACUUAUAUUAUAUUGUGAUAGGUACCUAUUUCCUUUAAUUUGUGUACUUAUUUUUCCUAUGUUUCCCCCACCACCCAUCAGAAAGUAAUUAGUUACUUUAUUUAACCAAAAAAAAACUAUACCUAUACACUGUGCAGUUAUGUUUGUGAAUAAAAUUAUUUUGUCAAUGACCAAUUUAUGAAAACUCUAUUUUCAAAUUGUAUAACAAAAAAGAAAAGUAGGUAGGUUACGUUAGCUUUGUACCUGUUUAAAAUCAUUAUAAGUUAUACUAUCAUACUUUUCAUAUUUGUCGUAUUGAUAGUGUAUAUGUAUAUUUAAGUUUAGAAAUAUAUGACUAAUGUAGUCUAUGGACUUAAGUCUAAUAAAUUUCUACUUUUUAACUUAAUUUUCUCUGUGUUUAUUAACUCAAUCUAUUUUAAUAUGAUUAAAGCGCGAAUUCGUAUGAUUUCACAUAUUUAGUCUGGUUGAUGGUAUGAUAUGCUAAUAGUGAGCACAGAAUUAGUUUCAUGACGAUAACGAUUUACACUGUGAAUCUUUUGGGCCGCA